rnacentral:lncRNA from 10 species
CCACCGUGUUCUGAGCCCGCGUAGCCCCACCCCGGGCGCUCGGGCCGCUGUGGCCGGAGCCCUAGGUCCUCGCGGGCUGCCCUGAGCAGAGUCCAGCGCCGGCGCUUCCCCUUUUUUUCGGCUGCCGCGCCCACUGGUGGGGGGGUGGCACGGUCCCAGGAAUUUGUGGUUCCUUUUUCCCGGAUGCGCUGGGGCACCAGGGUCAGUCCUGUGUGAGCAUCUCGACCUGCACAAGCCUGCUGGGAAACAGAACUGAGGCACUGGAAGUGGGUUCUGGGGAACGAAGAGCUUCUCUUUUUUGCCUGCCCUGACACUCCCAUCUUCAGAAAGUGUGCAGAGGUCAGAGGAGAGCCGCCGUUCCAGCUUCCGGGAUCACCGAGGGGAGGCUGGAGAGAAUGGACUGGCACCUGGGUCUCUUCAAGGACAGGCCUAGGUUAGCCCCCUUCUCGCCGAGGUCGGAAGAAUUAAGAGGGGUGUCACUGGAAGGGGCGUCAGUGGACACCAGUUUGAGGUCGUUGAGGGGUUGAAAGGUAGCAUUGGGGCCUGGAUGUGUGCCUGAGUCUCUGAAGGGUCAACAGGGGCAUGAUGUCAGGUGGUCAAUUUAAUUCACUAGGGGCUAUCAGAGUAUUUAAGGGCACACUUUCUUAAAGGUCCCGGUAGGAAGUGGUUUUGGCUUUGCUAUCGCUGCCCCAGCUGCUUAACUCAGCUGUGGCAGCAUGAAAGCAGACAAUAUAGUGUGGCUGUGUCCCAAAGAAACCAUUUAUGGACAAAGAAAUCAGAAUUUCAUGUAAUGUUCAUGUGUCAUGAAUUAUUCUAGUGUGUGUGUGUGGCCUACAGGCUGUCGUUUGCUGACCUUGGCUGAAGUGAUGGAGCGAUCAAAGUGGCUCUGUGGGGAUCAGCAGCUAGGGCUGUUUGAUUUAUCGUGGGGUCCGCAGGGGUCACUGUGAGAUUCAUGUUCAUCAUUUAUCAGUUUCAUCUUUGAGCAUUCUCAGGGAGGUAAUUGUUUAGGAUGGUGGUG